ensembl:lncRNA
GUAGUUACCAGUGUAGUAGUAGUGGUGUUCUGUCUCCAGUAGUUACCAGUGUAGUAGUAGUGGUGUUCUGUCUCCAGUAGUUACCAGUGUAGUAGUAGUGGUGUUCUGUCUCCAGUAGUUACCAGUGUAGUGGUGUUCUGUCUCCAGUAGUUACCAGUGUAGUAGUAGUGGUGUUCUGUCUCCAGUAGUUACCAGUGUAGUAGUAGUGGUGUUCUGUCUCCAGUAGUUACCAGUGUAGUAGUAUUGGUGUUCUGUCUCCAGUAGUUACCAGUGUAGUGGUGUUCUGUCUCCAGUAGUUACCAGUGUAGUAGUAGUGGUGUUCUGUCUCCAGUAGUUACCAGUGUAGUAGUAGUGGUGUUCUGUCUCCAGUAGUUACCAGUGUAGUGGUGUUCUGUCUCCAGUAGUUACCAGUGUAGUGGUGUUCUGUCUCCAGUAGUUACCAGUGUCGUAGUAUUGGUGUUCUGUCUCCAGUAGUUACCAGUGUAGUGGUGUUCUGUCUCCAGUAGUUACCAGUGUCGUAGUAUUGGUGUUCUGUCUCCAGUAGUUACCAGUGUAGUGGUGUUCUGUCUCCAGUAGUUACCAGUGUCGUAGUAUUGGUGUUCUGUCUCCAGUAGUUACCAGUGUCGUAGUGUUCUGUCUCCAGUAAUUACCAGUGUAGUGGUGUUCUGUCUCCAGUAGUUACCAGUGUAGUAGUAGUGUUCUGUCUCCAGUAGUUACCAGUGUAGUAGUAGUGUUCUGUCUCCAGUAGUUACCAGUGUAGUAGUAGUGUUCUGUCUCCAGUAGUUACCAGUGUCGUAGUGUUCUGUCUCCAAUAGUUACCAGUGUAGUAGUAGUGGUGUUCUGUCUCCAGUAGUUACCAGUGUAGUAGUAGUAGUGUUCUGUCUCCAGUAGUUACCAGUGUAGUAGUAUUGGUGUUCUGUCUCCAGUAGUUACCAGUGUAGUAAUAGUGGUGUUCUGUAUCCAGUAGUUACCAGUGUAGUAGUGUUCUGUCUCCAGUAGUUACCAGUGUAGUAGUAGUAAUGUUCUGUCUCCAGUAGUUACCAGUGUAGUAGUGUUCUGUCUCCAGUAGUUACCAGUGUAGUAGUAGUGUUCUGUCUCCAAUAGUUACCAGUGUAGUAGUAGUGGUGUUCUGUCUCCAGUAGUUACCAGUGUAGUAGUAGUAGUGUUCUGUCUCCAGUAGUUACCAGUGUAGUAGUAUUGGUGUUCUGUCUCCAGUAGUUACCAGUGUAGUAAUAGUGGUGUUCUGUCUCCAGUAGUUACCAGUGUAGUGGUGUUCUGUCUCCAGUAGUUACCAGUGUAGUGGUGUUCUGUCUCCAGUAGAUACCAGUGUAGUAGUAGUGGUGUUCUGUCUCCAG